CAAACAUUAGAAAUAUCUUCAGCGAGGACAUGAGGUCACCAAAUCUAGAUAGAGGGAGAUUUGAGACGCCCCAUGUCCGGAGACUUGAGUCCCUCCUGCAGCAGCCGCAGGUCAUUCAAACCACGAACUGAACCACAGCUGAAUCCUGGUCGAGUUCUGAAGCUGCAGUCUGGUUUCUAUCACAUCAUCUUCCCCCCCGACAGUUUGUUUCCCACCUCCCGCCUCUCGAACACUGGCUUCAAGAUAAUGAUUUUAAAAAGGUUUUGAUUAAUCACCAGAAACUCUGUGUUGCAGCAACGGCCCGGAAUCUUUUCCAGAUAAGAACCUCGAGAAUUCUGUUCCUGACAGUAAGUGGGAGGCUGAUCGAUGGAUUUUUGCAGCUCGUGAAAUAACUGGUGGAUAAACGAUCCUCGAGUUUACACAACAACUAAACAGCAACUACAGCUACUUUGUGUGUGUGUGUGUGUUUUUUUUUGUGCGCCUGCUGCUAUCUGAUGUCGUGAUAAAGCUUCGUGAGCCAAAGAAAGUCGACCAUCUCAGCAAAGGGGAAUGACAAACUGACACAAAGUGCGUUUGAGGCGCAAACACAAAAUGUUGUGUUAUAUGUCACAGUGUGUGUGUUUGGGAGUUCACCAGUUUGUCUUCUCUGGUGUGUGAGUCUGUCCGACACGCCUCGGCCUCUCGCUCUCUCCAAGACAAACAAGGGAGAAGGGAGUUAGAGCGAAGUCAGGCGAUGAGUCAUGCUGAUUUAUCAAAACCACCGUUGGGGGGGGGGAAAUCCUCUGAGCGAGGUCGACUUUGUGAAACUCAUGUUACACAACUCAUUUGUCGUGAUGAGGCUUUAGCGCCGCUGAGCCUCGUGAGACCCGUUUGUUUCUAAUGUCGGUUCCGGCUGCGUGGGGCGGCUCCUGGGUGGCACCGGGGUUUUUACUCGUCCUUCUUCUUCAUGUCAAAGCGCUUUCCUGCAUUUCUGACUUCUCAUGGCUGCGGCUUUGAUGCACGGUCAAAUUUCAGGCCACAUCAGAUAAGAGAGACUUUUUUUUAGCCGGACUCUGAGGUGGAGGAGAACGGCUCUGAGAGGAUGUUUCAACACACGACAAUGUGCAACCGGCUGCUCUUUAAAGUCAAGGAACACAGAGGGAAUCAGGAGCCAGAGCUGGUUACAACUUAUAAGUCACAAUAAGUGUUUAGGAAGUUCAGAUUUCAGUCUCACGUCAAGUUAAUCGCAAGCACCAGGUGUAGCCAGGCUAGCUGUUUCCCCCUGCUUCCAGCAAUUAUGCUAAGCUAAGCUAAUUAACGUGAAUAAACCUUGGAAUUAGGACAUUUGACGAAAAGAAGAUGAGAAAUGGAUUUGAACUCUUAAAGGCUGUGGUUUCUUCAGAACGUGGUGCCGCCCUGUGGAGCCCUGUACGCUGCUGCUGCUGCUGUCACCAGUGAUGUAAUGUGGAAACUUGUUUUGUCCCGUCCGGGGC